rnacentral:tRNA from 1 species
ACUAAAAUGACAGAAUAAAUGUGUAAAAUUUAGGAUUUUAUUAUGAAGAAACAUCUUCUUUUAGUA